AGGACGAACGCUGGCGGCGUGCUUAACACAUGCAAGUCGAGCGGAAAGGCCCUUCGGGGUACUCGAGCGGCGAACGGGUGAGUAACACGUGAGCAACCUGCCCCUGGCUCUGGGAUAGCCUCCGGAAACGGGGAUUAAUACCGGAUAUUCACUGUCUCCUGCAUGGGGGGUGGUGGAAAGUUUUUCGGCUAGGGUGGGCUCGCGGCCUAUCAGCUUGUUGGGGGGUGACGGCCCACCAAGGCGACGACGGGU
rnacentral:rRNA from 1 species